rnacentral:rRNA from 1 species
AUUGCCUACGAGGGGCAGCAGUGGGGAAUAUUGGGCAAUGGAGGAAACUCUUACCCAGCAAUGCCGCGUGAAUGAAGAAGGUCUUCGGAUUGUAAAGUUCUUUAAUUGGGGACGAAAAAAAUGACGGUACCCAAGGAAUAAGCCCCGGCUAACUACGUGCCAGCAGCCGCGGUAAUACGUAGGGAGCGAGCGUUAUCCGGAAUUAUUGGGCGUAAAGGGUGCGUAGAUGGCAUAGUAAGUCUUUUGUAAAAAUGCUGGGCUCAACCCAGUAGGGCAAAAGAUACUGCAAAGCUAGAGUAUGACAG